AUAUCAAUACGGUUCUGACGAGUCGCUUACGAKMCGGCGCUGCCGCGUGUAUGAAGAAGGCCUUCGGGUUGUAAAGUACUUUCAGCGGGGAGGAAGGGAGUAAAGUUAAUACCUUUGCUCAUUGACGUUACCCGCAGAAGAAGCACCGGCUAACUCCGUGCCAGCAGCCGCGGUAAUACGGAGGGUGCAAGCGUUAAUCGGAAUUACUGGGCGUAAAGCGCACGCAGGCGGUUUGUUAAGUCAGAUGUGAAAUCCCCGGGCUCAACCUGGGAACUGCAUCUGAUACUGGCAAGCUUGAGUCUCGUAGAGGGGGGUAGAAUUCCAGGUGUAGCGGUGAAAUGCGUAGAGAUCUGGAGGAAUACCGGUGGCGAAGGCGGCCCCCUGGACGAAGACUGACGCUCAGGUGCGAAAGCGUGGGGAGCAAACAGGAUUAGAUACCCUGUUAGUCCACGCCGUAAACGAUGUCGACUUGGAGGUUGUGCCCUUGAGGCGUGGCUUCCGGAGCUAACGCGUUAAGUCGACCGCCUGGGGAGUACGGCCGCAAGGUUAAAACUCAAAUGAAUUGACGGGGGCCCGCACAAGCGGUGGAGCAUGUGGUUUAAUUCGAUGCAACGCGAAGAACCUUACCUGGUCUUGACAUCCACGGAAGUUUUCAGAGAUGAGAAUGUGCCUUCGGGAACCGUGAGACAGGUGCUGCAUGGCUGUCGUCAGCUCGUGUUGUGAAAUGUUGGGUUAAGUCCCGCAACGAGCGCAACCCUUAUCCUUUGUUGCCAGCGGUCCGGCCGGGAACUCAAAGGAGACUGCCAGUGAUAAACUGGAGGAAGGUGGGGAUGACGUCAAGUCAUCAUGGCCCUUACGACCAGGGCUACACACGUGCUACAAUGGCACAUACAAAGAGAAGCGACCUCGCGAGAGCAAGCGGACCUCAUAAAGUGCGUCGUAGUCCGGAUUGGAGUCUGCAACUCGACUCCAUGAAGUCGGAAUCGCUAGUAAUCGUGGAUCAGAAUGCCACGGUGAAUACGUUCCCGGGCCUUGUACACACCGCCCGUCACACCAUGGGAGUGGGUUGCAAAAGAAGUAGGUAGCUUAACCUUCGGGAGGGCGCUUACCACUUUGUGAUUCAUGACUGGGGUGAAGUCGUAACAAGGUAACCGUAGGGGAACCUGCGGUUG
rnacentral:rRNA from 1 species